CUGAGUUUCCUGCUUCCUCUGGCUGUUCUUGCUAUAUAAGGGCCCUCCUGUGCAGAGAUUGACAGGAGGAGGUAGAGAAGGAGAGCUUGGAUUCCUGCUGAAACUCCUCAGAGAGAUCCAGGAAGGAAGAUGCUUAAGAUUUGGGGGCUUGUUCUCUUCUAUGGACUGCUCACACAGAGCUCAGCCUACCCAAAAAGACACAAGCCAAUCCUGGCUCAUCCACAUGCAAAAGUACCUGUUCAAGCAGAAGCAUCAGCACGGGCAAACUUACUCUUAAAAACAGCUACCAGUUUACACAGUCAACUGUUGAACACAAAUACUCCCAGAAAUCUUAAGAAACUCUCCUUCAUGAAGGCUGUGCAUGCUAUUCAAGGUGGAUUGCUUGGAAAUUUGCAUGCAGGAAUGGAUGGCAAGUUUUUUGACCUGGAGUUAUCUUCGAUUAAAGUUAUAAAGGCUCAGAUCUUUGAUAUCAAUAUUACACAAAGUGAAGACAGACAUCAGCUAUUAGCAACAUUCCCUACAACCUUGGAUAUGGAAGCAAAUAUAAAGUUUCUUGGAAAUAUUGGCUUCGUAAUAGAAGUGAACAACAAAUUUCAGAUUGGAACAGAAAUGGAUGAAAAUGAAGAUGGUUACCUGGUCAUUCAGAAUUGUAACACUGACUUUGUCAGUUUACAAGUCAAAACUCAUAGUAGGAUACUCAAUUCUAUCUUGGAUGUAUUUAGAAGCGUUCUGAAUGCUGUGGUCCCCGAGCUGGUAGAGGAAGCACUCUGCUCGGCAGUCAGCACGUGCUUACCGAAGUUAGGUGUUAAACUGAAAACGGCUCUUGUGGAUGCAUUAAUAUGUGGAUAUGAUCUUAAUGCUAAUUAAUGAACCUUCCAGAAAGCAGACCAACUUUAUUCCAAACAGGACUUCAAGGUCAGAGACAAAUUGCUGUAUUUGGUGUCAGAAGAGAUGAAAUGUUUUGCAUCUUCCAGGGUCCAUCAAGUUCUUUUCCCUUGGAUUUGGAGCCAUUUUCCUUGCAUGAAUAUUCCCUCUGGGAAAUGUGUUUCUUCCCCCUGAUUUCUCUUAUAAUAAAUUUCCACUGUCUAAGCA
rnacentral:lncRNA from 1 species